UACGUAGGGGGCAAGCGUUGUCCGGAAUCAUUGGGCGUAAAGCGCGUGUAGUCGGUUCGGUAAGUCUGCUGUGAAAGUCCAGGGCUCAACCCUGGGAUGCCGGUGGAUACUGUCGGGCUAGAGUACGGAAGAGGCGAGUGGAAUUCCCGGUGUAGCGGUGAAAUGCGCAGAUAUCGGGAGGAACACCAAUUGCGAAGGCAGCUCGCUGGGACGUCACUGACGCUGAGACGCGAAAGCGUGGGGAGCAAACAGG
rnacentral:rRNA from 1 species